UUUAUGCCGACAACAAGGCUAUCAUCGCCAAGCCAGCGCGCCGUGAGGCCCUGUGGGGCUUCAUGGCGCGCUGGAGAAGCUUGCCGCGGACCCAGCUCGACUGAUGAACCGAGGUGUCAGUGAAAAACACCAGGCAAGACAGGAGCGAGCAGCACAAGUUCAUAACAGAUUGUUAUGCCGACAACAAGGCUAUCAUCGCCAAGCCAGCGCGCCAUGAGGCCCUGUGGGGCUUCAUGGCGCGCUGGAGAAGCUUGCCGCUGACCCAGCUCGCCUGAUGAACCGAGGUGUCAGUGAAGAACACCAGGCAAGACAGGAGUGAGCAGCACAAGUUCAUAACAGAUUUUUAUGCCGACAACAAGGCUAUCAUCGCCAAGCCAGCGCGCCAUGAGGCCCUGUGGGGCUUCAUGGCGCGCUGGAGAAGCUUGCCGCGGACCCAGCUUGCCUGAUGAACCAAGCAAUUCCUGGCCCAUACAAGCAGGAUGGAGCUCAGCGGCAGUGCUCUUGUUGAAACGAUGAGGCCGCUCCGACUAGAAGCUGUGCUUCAAGCCAUGGAUUCCGAUUUAAGCUUGACACUCAAGUGCCUCCCCCAUGACACUCAAGUGCCUGAGGAGCAAGUGCCUCCCCCAUGGACAUUCCUAUUAUGCGUGUUUAUAAAAAUCAGUUUAAUCUUUUCCCCCUUUUUUUAGUAAAUAACACUGAAUGAAACAUGGACACGGCAUGAACAUUGCUGCCGAAAGUGAAGACAGCAGGAUGUCUUAUGUAACCAUGCAACAGACAUGUUUGUGUAAACAGUGCAGUCUUGUCUCCCCCAUUUACAGAUAGUAUAAAGCACUGCUGGAAACAAUAAAUCUCUUUUU